AUGAGGGCGCUGGAGUGAGGAACAGAUUGGAGCCUUCCCACUUCCUCUCCAAUCUCAGCCCCCGGGAGGAGGGGUGAGGCCCUCGAGGGGGCCCGGAGUUAAGGAGGAAUAGACCGUUUCUCUCUCUCCUGUCUCCCCCGCCUCUGCCCGUCUUCCCUCUAAGCCGGCCUCUAGGUGCAGAGGCUGACGUCCAGGAUGGGGACCGGGGAAGCCUCUGGAGGGUAUAUCCGGGAAGGCACCAAGGCUGAAGUGAGAGCGGUUCUGGGGAAGGCUUUAAAAAGCAGAUAUGGACCAGGAAAGAUGCAGUCUAGCACCUCAGUUAAGAAUAUGGACUCUAAAGUCAGACUGCCAGGCUUCAAAUUCCAGUUCUGCGACCUCAGCAAAGUUACUUAACCAAGCUCUCAGUGCCUUGUUUUCUUCAUCUGUAAAAUGAGGAUGACGUCACAGCAUUGUUGAGAGAAUUAAUACAGGCUCCAGACUUGUGAAUGGAGAAGUGUUGAGGUGACCCCAGCUCCAGCCACCAGCUGACGACAACCAUACCGGAGAUCCUGAGAGCUGCCUAGCUGACCCCAGGCACCCCCCAGACUUCAUGUAAGCUGUUUGAAGCCGAGGACUUUGUCUGUUUUGUUCACUCCCAAUAGAUUCAGCACUUAGAAGAAUGCCAGGCAGGCUUUCCCCACCAACCAAGAUGGAAUAACAGGGAAAAGACAUACCCUUCUAUCUUCAAUAAUUGGAAACCCAGACAAAGUUUAUGAAACGCUGGUUUUCAAGACAUAGGACAUCAGACAAUCAAGGACAGUAAACACUGAGAUGGGAAACAAACAAGGUGAGUACUGCAAUUGCCCAACAUUACUAGCUGGAAAGAGUUUCCCGACCAUGGCAGAGGGAGGAGGAUCCUUUGAGGUUCUGUGGUGUCCCUGAGUUGAGGAGACAAAGUUGAAAUUCCAGAGUGGUCAAGGCAGCUGGAGUUUGUAGAGCAGAGUACCAGAAAGAAAAUAGAUGCACAGAGAGAACCUCAGAGAUCUGCAAAAGAUCUCAGCUCUUCAGCUGUGCACCUAUCAGUACAUGCAUGUGACAAAGCACCCCAAGGCCAGGGGAAGAAUCACCUGAAAGUAUGAAGAGAAGAAUACUUGGAGCAUAUACAAACCAGGAAUAAUUUCAGUUCUCACCAGCCAAAUUGGAAGACCCCAUAGAUAACAGGCAUUAGGUAGAGCAGGGGUCCCCAACCUCCAGGGGCACUGACCAGUACUGUUCAUGGCCUGUUAGGAACUGGGCUGCACAGCAGGAGGUGAGCGGCAGGCUAGCCAGCAAACCUUCAUCUGUAUUUAUAGCUCCCAUCACUUGCAUUACUCCCCAUCACUCCCCAUCACUUGCAUUACCACCUGAGCUCCACCUCCUCUCAGAUCAGCAGCAGCAUUAGAUUCUCAUAGGAGUGUGAACCCUACUGUGAACUGCACAUGCAAGGGAUCUAGGUUGUGCACUGUUUAUGAGAAUCUAAUGCCUGAUGAUCUGAGGUGCAGCUGAGGCAGCAUAGCUAGGAGGUAGGUAUUUUGUUGCUGGGGACUCAUAUCAAAACCCUAUCAGUGAGUGGCAAGUGACAAUUAAGCUGCAUCUGGUGGCAGACUUUAUAGAGGCAAGUGAGUCAAUGUAUUUCAAUUGCACAGCUCUAUCUGGUGGCAAGUUUUAAGUCAGAAUCUGACACUUAAUUUAGUCUGUGCAUGGCCUGCCCAUUAUUUUAUUUACCACUUCUGUCUGUGCCUCUUUGCUGCACUGAACACUUGUCUCAGUCACAGUUUUGGUAAGCCCACAAGCUAACCCUAGCUAAAAUGAGUAAAAAGCAAACGACACUGGAGAGCUUCUUUGAAAAGUCAGAGAGACCCAAUGAUGAGACAGCAGAAGACUCUUAAGACUGCCAACAAAAAGAAAGCUGCACUUAAAAGAAAAUACCAGACUGGGCGUGGUGGCUCACA
rnacentral:lncRNA from 1 species